UACGUAGGUGGCAAGCGUUGUCCGGAAUUAUUGGGCGUAAAGCGCGCGCAGGUGGUUCCUUAAGUCUGAUGUGAAAGCCCACGGCUCAACCGUGGAAGGUCAUUGGAAACUGGGGAACUUGAGUACAGAAGAGGAAAGUGGAAUUCCAAGUGUAGCGGUGAAAUGCGUAGAUAUUUGGAGGAACACCAGUGGCGAAGGCGACUUUCUGGUCUGUAACUGACACUGAGGCGCGAAAGCGUGGGAGCAAACAGGAUUAGAAACCCCCGUAGUCC
rnacentral:rRNA from 1 species